GGCAGACGGGUGAGUAACGCGUGGGAAUCUACCCAUCCCUACGGGAUAGCUCCGGGAAACUGGAGAUAAUACCGUAUACGUCCUCCGGGAGAAAGAUUUAUCGGGGAUGGAUGAGCCCGCGUUGGAUUAGCUAGUUGGUGGGGUAAUGGCCUACCAAGGCGACGAUCCAUAGCUGGUCUAAGAGGAUGAUCAGCCACAUUGGGACUGAGACACGGCCCAAACUCCUACGGGAGGCAGCAGUGGGGAAUAUUGGACAAUGGGCGCAAGCCUGAUCCAGCCAUGCCGCGUGAGUGAUGAAGGCCCUAGGGUUGUAAAGCUCUUUCAGUGGGGACGAUAAUGACGGUACCCACAGAAGAAGCCCCGGCUAACUUCGUGCCAGCAGCCGCGGUAAUACGAAGGGGGCUAGCGUUGUUCGGAAUUACUGGGCGUAAAGCGCACGUAGGCGGACAUUUAAGUCAGGGGUGAAAUCCCGGGGCUCAACCCCGGAACUGCCUCUGAUACUGGGUGUCUUGAGUGUGGUAGAGGUGAGUGGAAUUGCGAGUGUAGAGGUGAAAUUCGUAGAUAUUCGCAGGAACACCAGUGGCGAAGGCGGCUCACUGGA
rnacentral:rRNA from 1 species